CAACAAGUUUAUUCAUUUAUUUAAUAGGUGUAAUCAUAUUCAGAGUUUAUAAAUAGUGUUCAAUAUUUCUUACUUCUCUACACAUUCUCUCUGUUGAGUAUUACUUAAACUUUUCUCCUCCCAAAUAUCACAUAGCGAGAUUCAGAAUGAAUGCGGAUUCAUCGAUCAAUAAUAAUAAAAGAUUUCAAGCAUAAUCAAAGAAGGAAAUGUUGAAGAAAAAUCAUUUUAUGUGAUCUUCCGAAUGGUAUUUGUAAAUUUUUUAUCUAAACUACAAUCAAAAGAAGAAGUUGCAACAAUGUUUUAUCAAAAUAUGGGUGCAUCAAUGGAUGCAUAACAAUAAAAUUGAUUUGGAAUUUGAUCAAUAUGCACAUGUGAAGAGGGAACAUUCCAUAGAGUUUAUGGACAAGUUACUUGUGGUUUGUAAUAGUUCAAACCUUUAAAAGAUUUAAAUUAGCAUGAGGCAAAACAUCUAAUUUUUUCUACCAUUCUUUUAAAAUCUUCUUAUAUUGACUUUGAAACAUGUUAUAUUCCUUAAUAAUUAUGGUAUGUUAUAUUGACUUUGAAGCAACUUGUCCACAAACUCUAUAAAAUGCUCCCUCUUCUUAGGUUCACUUUCAUCAAAUUUCAAAUCAAUUUUGUUGAUAUUCAUCCAUUGAUUCGCCCAUCUUUUUGAUAAAAUACUUGUUGCAACUGCUUAUUUUGUUGGUGAGUUAGAUAAAGUCUUUUGCAAUAUAAUAUAUGAUUCGAUAUUGAUUUCAACGUUUACUUCCCAAUGAUUAUGGCUUUUAAAUAUGUUUUUGUUAUUGAUAAAAGAAAUUGCAUCCAUUAUAAAUCAAAAUUAAUAGAAGAAUACUAUAUCAACACAAAUGAUAUGAAAACAUUUAAAGAUUAAAUGGUUGUGGCUUUAUAUUAUGUGAAUAAGAAAUGGAACAUUAUUCAAUGUUUGCUUGGUCAUGUUCAUGAUGGAUCAUGAGAUGGAUAUCUAUAUUGGAGGAAUUUUGGACAUCAGAAGCGGAAGAAAUAGCUUAAACAUGUAAUUUUUGGAAGAAAUCAAAGUUUUUGGGUGGGGCUUAGCGUGCUCAAAGCGCGCUUGAAGUUACUGAGGCAGAGGCUAGCGUGUUAAGCACCCUUUUCUGCAUUAAGCGUCAUUUAAGGCAGUUUAAUGUGUUUUUCUGGAUUUGGUGCUCAGCGCCAAAUUUGGGACUUAUCGCGGUCUACAACUUUUUGUUUUCAAUAAAUAGAUUUCUGUUGUUAUUUUGUAAAAUAUACUACAUUUUAGGGGGGAGAGAGAGAGAGAGAGAGAGAGAGAGAGAGAGAGAGAGAGAGAGAGAGAGAGAGAGAGAGAGAGAGAGAGAGAGAGAGAGAGAGAGAGAGAGAGAGAGAGAGAGAGAGAGAGAACAACAUGAGAGUGUGCUUCUUGAAGAUCAGAAACUGGGUUCACAUCAAUCUUUGGGAAAUCAUAAUUGAUGCAUGUACAUAUUCAUUCUUCUCUUUGUAUCUAGCUACCAUGAGUAGCUAAAUCCCUUUCUUGUUGGGAUUGUAUGUAAGUCUGUCGUAACAAUUUGUAUUUUUAUUGAUCAUGACGUUGUAUACAAUCUCUUUAUGAA